rnacentral:rRNA from 1 species
AUUGAACGCUGGCGGCAUGCCUUACACAUGCAAGUCGAACGGUAACAGGUCUUCGGAUGCUGACGAGUGGCGAACGGGUGAGUAAUACAUCGGAACGUGCCUAGUAGUGGGGGAUAACUACUCGAAAGAGUGGCUAAUACCGCAUGAGAUCUGCGGAUGAAAGCAGGGGAUCGCAAGACCUUGUGCUACUAGAGCGGCCGAUGGCAGAUUAGGUAGUUGGUGGGAUAAAAGCUUACCAAGCCGACGAUCUGUAGCUGGUAUGAGAGGACGAUCAGCCACAAUGGGACUGAGACACGGCCCAGACUCCUACGGGAGGCAGCAGUGGGGAAUUUUGGACAAUGGGCGCAAGCCUGAUCCAGCAAUGCCGCGUGCAGGAUGAAGGCCUUCGGGUUGUAAACUGCUUUUGUACGGAACGAAAAGCCCUGGGUUAAUACCCUGGGGUCAUGACGGUACCGUAAGAAUAAGCACCGGCUAACUACGUGCCAGCCGCCGCAGUAA